rnacentral:rRNA from 1 species
GAACCGGACAAACGUUUAUUCGGAAUUACUGGGCUUAAAGAGUGCGUAGGCGGCUUGGCAGGUUGGGUGUGAAAGCCCUCGGCUCAACCGAGGAAUUGCGCUCAAAACCGCCAGGCUUGAGGGAGGCAGAGGUGAGCGGAACUGAUGGUGGAGCGGUGAAAUGCGUUGAUAUCAUCAGGAACACCAGUGGCGAAGGCGGCUCACUGGGCCUCUUCUGACGCUGAGGCACGAAAGCUAGGGGUAGCGAACAGGAUUAGAUACCCUGGUAGUCCUAGCUGUAAACGAUGAGCACUUGGUCGAGGGGACCUCCCACAUCCUCUCGGCCGGAGCGAAAGUGUUAAGUGCUCCGCCUGGGAGUAUGGUCGCAAGGCCG